rnacentral:rRNA from 1 species
CACGUAGGGCGCAAGCGUUGUCCGGAAUUAUUGGGCGUAAAGAGCUCGUAGGCGGUCUGUUGCGUCUGCUGUGAAAACCCGGGGCUUAACCCCUGGCUUGCAGUGGAUACGGGCAGACUAGAGGUAGGUAGGGGAGAGUGGAAUUCCUGGUGUAGCGGUGAAAUGCGCAGAUAUCAGGAAGAACACCCGUGGCGAAGGCGGCUCUCUGGAACGCAACUGACGCUGAGACGCGAAAGCGUGGGGAGCAAACAGG